rnacentral:lncRNA from 10 species
UACCAGAAUUCAAUAAAGAGAAUAUUAACACAGUAUUACUGUAAUACUUCAGCAUUACAGUAGUAAAAAUCCACAAAUGGAAUUCACACCAGGCACAUGGUUAGGCACAGUGGAAUAUUAUGCAGCCAUUACAAAUAUUUACAAGGAAUUUUAAAUUACAUCAAAAAUAUUAUUUAACAUUCAUUGAUACAGGUGUUCAAAGGGGCAUAUAGGAUAAGAAGGCAAGUACGUUAGAAAUAUACAUACAUAGGCCGGGCGCAGUGGCUCACGCCUGUAAUCCCAGCACUUUGGGAGGCUGAGGUGGGCAGAUCACGAGGUAAGGAGAUUGAGACCAUCCUGGCUAACAUGGUGAAACCCCGUCUCUACUAAAAAUAAAAAAAAAAUAAAAAAAUAAAAAUUAGCCGGGCAUGGUGGCGGGCGACUGUAGUCAAAGCUACUCGGGAGGCUGUGGGAGGGGCUGCAGUGGACACUGGGCCUCUGAGCUGGGACCACCUGUGUCCCCUGGGCCUGACACAGACCAGGACCUGAUGCACGAGUAAGAAUGAAUGGGGCCCAAUCGCCUAACAAAGGCAACUCAAUUUCAGCCCCGAUUGUUCCAGAAGGAUUUGCUGUAAGCAACCGGAGAAGUUGGCAUUUGUUCAACAUGGAAAAAGUGUCCCCCAACUUUGAAGCACUGAACCAAACAUCUUUGUUGAGGUUUCAUUCUCACGAUAUCUGCAAAUCAACGUUUUUUCCUUCACACUAAAAACGGGCAACUUUAGAGCCCACUAAAGCUAUACAAAAUUGGGAGGGGGCAUGCUCUGAUUUUCCAUUUUUAGUUCCAGGGUCCGUAUGCAGGACUUAUUUGCAGGAAGAGCAGGAAUGAUCAGUUCAACAAGAAAAGCCACACUCAGUUUUCACAGACAGACAACCCCUCCUUCCCACCCCUGCCCUGUCCCCCAUCAACUUAAGUGGCAUAUAAAUGAUUAAAGUGGCUUCAUUAACUCCAGGAGUGUGGCCUGUGCUAGGGCACCUGAUUUGUGCUAGACGAGGCCAGCAGAAGAGCAAUCGCUCUGCAAGAGAAAGGCUCGGCCCUUCCUUAAUCACCAUGGGUUAUAAUUCACCCUGACGUCCUUACACACAUGGAGGUGCCAGGAUACUGAGCUUUCCUAUAAGCAGGGCCUCAGCAGAAGUGCCUCCCUCCGAGCCUCCAGGGCCUGAGAGGAGAGCCCC